rfam:Camelus ferus unplaced genomic scaffold scaffold1669, whole genome shotgun sequence.
GGAGGGUACAGCUCAGCGGCAGAGCCCAUGCUUAGCAUGCACGAGGUCCUGGGUUCAAUCCCCCAGUUCCUCCA